AUGCUCGCUUCGGCAGCACAUAUACUAAAACUGGAAUGAUACAGAUUAGCAAGGCCCCUGCGCAAGGAUGACAUGCAAAUUCGUGAAACGUUCCAUAUUUUU